GCUAAUACCGGAUAACAAACAGAUGAUGCCUAUCAACUGUUUAAAAGAUGGUUCUGCUAUCACUCUUGGAUGGACCUGCGGUGCAUUAGCUAGUUGGUAGGGUAACGGCCUACCAAGGCGAUGAUGCAUAGCCGAGUUGAGAGACUGAUCGGCCACAUUGGGACUGAGACACGGCCCAAACUCCUACGGGAGGCAGCAGCU
rnacentral:rRNA from 1 species